rnacentral:rRNA from 1 species
UGCGAUUUURUUAUGUUGGUUUCUAGGACGCAGUAAUGAUUAAAAGGGAUAGUCGGGGGCGUCAGUAUUCAGCUGUCAGAGGUGAAAUUCUUGGAUUUGCUGAAGACUAACUACUGCGAAAGCAUUKCCAAGGAGUUUUCAUUAAUCAGGAAACGAAAGUUAGGGGACGAAGARGAUCAAAUACCGUGGAAGUCUUAACCAAAAAUUAUCCGACUAGGGAUCGGGCGGUGUUUAUAGGAGAUCCGCUCGGCACCUUUAKCGAAGAAAAAAAUA